rnacentral:rRNA from 1 species
UACGUAGGGGGCAAGCGUUGUUCGGAAUUACUGGGCGUAAAGCGCGCGUAGGCGGACUGGCAAGUCAGAUGUGAAAGCCCCGGGCUCAACUUGGGAACUGCAUUUGAUACUGCCAGACUAGAGUACAGAAGAGGUGACUGGAAUUCCCAGUGUAGCGGUGGAAUGCGCAGAUAUCAGGAGGAACACCAAUAGCGAAGGCAGCUCGCUGGGACGGUACUGACGCUAAGGCGCGAAAGCGUGGGGAGCAAACAGG